rnacentral:rRNA from 1 species
UUAUGGCUCAGGAUGAACGCUGGCGGCGUGCCUAAUACAUGCAAGUGAAACGGGUAUCUUCGGAUACCAGUCGCGGACGGGUGAGUAAUACAUAGGCAACCUGCCUUUAUGAGGGGGAUAACCGAGGGAAACUUUGGCUAAUACCGCAUGAAGACUCUAAGGCAUCUUAGAGGGAUAAAAGUUGGGAAACAACGCAUGAAGAUGGGCUUAUGGCGCAUUAGCUAGUUGGUGAGAUAGAAGCCCACCAAGGUAAUGAUGCGUAGCCGACCUGAGAGGGUGAACGGCCACAUUGGGACUGAGACACGGCCCAAACUCCUACGGGAGGCAGCAGUAGGGAAUUUUCGGCAAUGGGGGGAACCCUGACCGAGCAACGCCGCGUGAAGGAAGAAGGUUUUCGGAUUGUAAACUUCUGUUAUAAGGGAAGAACGGAUUGGAUAGGGAAUGAUCUGAUAGUGACGGUACCUUAUUAGAAAGCCACGGCUAACUACGUGCCAGCCGCGGC